GUCAUAGCUCAGAGGUGGGACAUCUGUUUUGCAUACAGAAGGUCUCGGGUUCAAUCUCCAGCAUCUCCA